ensembl:rRNA 5S_rRNA 5S ribosomal RNA
GCUUACGGCCUUACCACCCUGAACACGCCCGAUCUCGUCCGAUCUCGGAAGCUAAGCAGGGUCGGGCCUGAUUAGUACUUGGAUGGGAUUCCGCCUGGGAAUACCAGGUGCUGUAAGCU